ACCAAUCUUAGCGAAGCUUGAGAAACUAAAUGUGUUCAAACUGAGUGGGGGAUCUAGCCAGCCUGAUAACCAAAUUCAAGAAGUAGCUUUGACUGUGGAAAAGAAAGAAAUUGCUGCAGUUCAGCCACCCGAAGACCGUGCCAGCAUGAUACAAGCUGCUCGGGAACGAUUUCUAGCUCGGAAAGGUCAGAAGUAGCAUUACAAUGGUUGUUCGACAGAUUAACUGGUUAUGCGCAUGCACUGUCCUUGCCACAAAAUUGGCUGCUACUCAGCUGGAAGUGGAGUGUAACCCUUUCUUAAUAUUCAUGAUGGGAGGGUGUAAUUCUCCCACUUGAUGCAGAAAUCUGGCCCAUCUGAUUCAUGAGUGGCACCAAAAGGUUUUUGAAGAAUGGUCAGAUGAAUUAUAUAUACCUUUCUCGGGCUUUGAGUAAGAUCAAGUGUAG
rnacentral:misc_RNA from 1 species